rnacentral:rRNA from 1 species
GACGAACGCUGGCGGCGUGCCUAAUACAUGCAAGUAGAGCGCUGAAGGAGGAGCUUGCUCUUCUGGAUGAGUUGCGAACGGGUGAGUAACGCGUAGGUAACCUGCCUGGUAGCGGGGGAUAACUAUUGGAAACGAUAGCUAAUACCGCAUAAGAGUAGAUGUUGCAUGACAUUUGCUUAAAAGGUGCAAUUGCAUCACUACCAGAUGGACCUGCGUUGUAUUAGCUAGUUGGUGGGGUAACGGCUCACCAAGGCGACGAUACAUAGCCGACCUGAGAGGGUGAUCGGCCACACUGGGACUGAGACACGGCCCAGACUCCUACGGGAGGCAGCAGUAGGGAAUCUUCGGCAAUGGACGGAAGUCUGACCGAGCAACGCCGCGUGAGUGAAGAAGGUUUUCGGAUCGUAAAGCUCUGUUGUAAGAGAAGAACGAGUGUGAGAGUGGAAAGUUCACACUGUGACGGUAUCUUAACAGAAAGGGGCGGCUAACUACGUG